rnacentral:misc_RNA from 1 species
GAUGAAGAACGCAGCGAAAUGCGAUAAGUAAUGUGAAUUGCAGAAUUCAGUGAAUCAUCGAAUCUUUGAACGCACCUUGCACCCUUUGGCAUUCCGAAGGGUAUGCUCGUUUGAGUGUCAUUGUACUCUCACACUUCCGAUCUUUGGACUGGGAGCGGUGGACUUGGGUGUUGCUGCUUACUGUGGCUCACCUCAAAUCGAUUCGUGCACCUCUUGGUUGGACAUAGUACGGCGUGAUAAGUGUCUUCGCCGGCACCUCAGUAGAGGGUGGCUGAUCGGGAGCUCUGCUUCAAACCGUCCUCGGACAACAACUGACAACUUGACCUCAAAUCGAGUAGGACUACCCGCUGAACUUAAGCAUAUCAAUAAGCGGAGGA